rnacentral:sRNA from 1 species
UGAGGAGGAACCGCAUGAACGAAGUUCAUAUUAAAAUCGGUUCCGACGACCUGCCGCCGAGCGGAUGCGAGGGGGCGAUACAUAU